UGGUCCGUAAAAGAAAUAUAGACGCACAAAGGUUUCCCCCCCCAACUGUCCCGUCUCUUUAUGAGUUAGCCUGUCAGUUUCGAAGGCUGUGAUCGACUGUUUGAUGUCGAUUGCGCCAGGCUUGGCUCCGCUAGAGGGGAACGGAGCUACGCAGCUGCCAGUUAUUUACUAACAUAGGUCUCCUGAUUUAGAGGGCAACAGUGCUAUAGCAGGAUCCAGAUGUGUUGGCGCAGUUCCCUCACUUGAAAACAAAUGGCUUUGUGUGUUGUUCAAUAAGGUUUAGGCUCCCUGCUGGCCCCUACAGCUGCCUAGACAUAGUGGCAAGGAUGCCUGGAGGCAUGGUACAUUGGGGAAACCGAGCAAAGGCUACGACAACGGAUGAAUGGGCACUGCACAACAAUCAACAGACAGGAGGGUUCCCUCCCAGUUGGGGAACACUUCAGUGGUCCAGUACAUUCAGCCUCGGACCAUCAGGUGACCAUCCUCCAAGGUGGACUUCGAGACAGGCAGCAGAGGAAAGUGGCCCAGCAGAGGCAGACAGCUAAAUUCGGUACCCAUAGGGAGGGCCUCAACCGGGACCUUGGGUUCAUGUCACAUUACAGGUGAUCACCAUUGCACUCCACACAUACACAGAUAUUCCUACAUACACACACUCUCUCACAUACACACAGACACAGGUACACACAGACAUGCACACAGACACCCACACACACCCUUAUAGACACACAUACUCCCACACUGACACAUGCACCCCCUCACAGACACUCUGCAGUCACUACACACACACACUUUCUCACACUCACAACCCCCACCCCAGACAGGCACACACACACAGACAAAGACCCACAUGCACACAUAUAUUUUGUGGGGUGAAUUUGUACUUGCAGAGUUACAUUGCACUUUGCUCAAAAACUGCAUACAUUCAUGUCGAACUCUGAGCUCAAAAACUGCA